UCAUGGCUCAGAUUGAACGCUGGCGGCAGGCCUAACACAUGCAAGUCGAACGGUAACAGAAAGCAGCUUGCUGCUUUGCUGACGAGUGGCGGACGGGGGAGUAAUGUCUGGGAAACUGCCUGAUGGAGGGGGAUAACUACUGGAAACGGUAGCUAAUACCGCAUAACGUCGCAAGACCAAAGAGGGGGACCUUCGGGCCUCUUGCCAUCGGAUGUGCCCAGAUGGGAUUAGCUUGUUGGUGGGGUAACGGCUCACCAAGGCGACGAUCCCUAGCUGGUCUGAGAGGAUGACCAGCCACACUGGAACUGAGACACGGUCCAGACUCCUACGGGAGGCAGCAGUGGGGAAUAUUGCACAAUGGGCGCAAGCCUGAUGCAGCCAUGCCGCGUGUAUGAAGAAGGCCUUCGGGUUGUAAAGUACUUUCAGCGGGGAGGAAGGGAGUAAAG
rnacentral:rRNA from 1 species